AGCGAACGCUGGCGGCAGGCCUAACACAUGCAAGUCGAACGAACUCUUCGGAGUUAGUGGCGGACGGGUGAGUAACACGUGGGAACGUGCCUUUAGGUUCGGAAUAACUCAGGGAAACUUGUGCUAAUACCGAAUGUGCCCUUCGGGGGAAAGAUUUAUCGCCUUUAGAGCGGCCCGCGUCUGAUUAGCUAGUUGGUUGGGGUAAUGGCCCACCAAGGCGACGAUCAGUAGCUGGUCUGAGAGGAUGACCAGCCACAUUGGGACUGAGACACGGCCCAAACUCCUACGGGAGGCAGCAGUGGGGAAUCUUGCGCAAUGGGCGAAAGCUUGACGCAGCCAUGCCGCGUGUAUGAUGAAGGUCUUAGGAUUGUAAAAUACUUUCACCGGUGAAGAUAAUGACUGUAGCCGGAGAAGAAGCCCCGGCUAACUUCGUGCCAGCCGCCGCAGUAAAAC
rnacentral:rRNA from 1 species